rnacentral:rRNA from 1 species
UACGUAGGGUGCGAGCGUUGUCCGGAAUUAUUGGGCGUAAAGAGCUUGUAGGCGGUUUGUCGCGUCUGCCGUGAAAAUCCGGGGCUCAACCCCGGACUUGCGGUGGGUACGGGCAGACUAGAGUGUGGUAGGGGAGGCUGGAAUUCCUGGUGUAGCGGUGAAAUGCGCAGAUAUCAGGAGGAACACCGAUGGCGAAGGCAGGUCUCUGGGCCACUACUGACGCUGAGAAGCGAAAGCUAGGGGAGCGAAUGGG